rnacentral:rRNA from 1 species
GAACCUUCGGGGAACGAUAACGGCGUCGAGCGGCGGACGGGUGAGUAAUGCCUAGGAAAUUGCCCUGAUGUGGGGGAUAACCAUUGGAAACGAUGGCUAAUACCGCAUGAUGCCUACGGGCCAAAGAGGGGGACCUUCGGGCCUCUCGCGUCAGGAUAUGCCUAGGUGGGAUUAGCUAGUUGGUGAGGUAAGGGCUCACCAAGGCGACGAUCCCUAGCUGGUCUGAGAGGAUGAUCAGCCACACUGGAACUGAGACACGGUCCAGACUCCUACGGGAGGCAGCAGUGGGGAAUAUUGCACAAUGGGCGCAAGCCUGAUGCAGCCAUGCCGCGUGUGUGAAGAAGGCCUUCGGGUUGUAAAGCACUUUCAGUCGUGAGGAAGG